GACGAACGCUGGCUGCGUGCUUAACACAUGCAAGUCGUACGGUAACGCCCUCUCGGGGUUGCACUAGAUGCGCACGGGUGAGUAACACGUGAGUAACCGGCCCACCACUUUGGGAUAACGCUAGGAAACUGGUUCCAAUACUGAAAAUGUGCUCCUGCUGCAUGGUGGGGGUUCGAAAGCUUGGGGGGUUGUGGAUGGACUUGCGGGCUAUCAGAUCGUCUGUGGGGUUGUGGCCUACCAAGGCGGCCACGGGUAGCCGGCCUGAGAGGGUGACCGGCCACAUUGGGAAUGAGAUACGGGCCAGAAGCCGACGGGAGGAAGCGGUGGGGAAUAUGGCACAAUGGGCGCAAGCCUGAGGCAAGAACGACGCGUGUGGGAGGACGGCCCUCGGGUUGUAAGCCGCUUUCAGCAGGGACGAAGCUUUUUGUGACGGUACCUGAAGAAGAAGCACCGGCUAACUACGUG
rnacentral:rRNA from 1 species